rnacentral:rRNA from 1 species
UUCCGUAGGUGAACCUGCGGAUGGAUCAUUACUGAGUUUACGCUCUACAACCCUUUGUGAACAUACCUAUAACUGUUGCUUCGGCGGGUAGGGUCUCCGUGACCCUCCCGGCCUCCCGCCCCCGGGCGGGUCGGCGCCCGCCGGAGGAUAACCAAACUCUGAUUUAACGACGUUUCUUCUGAGUGGUACAAGCAAAUAAUCAAAACUUUUAACAACGGAUCUCUUGGUUCUGGCAUCGAUGAAGAACGCAGCGAAAUGCGAUAAGUAAUGUGAAUUGCAGAAUUCAGUGAAUCAUCGAAUCUUUGAACGCACAUUGCGCCCGCCAGCAUUCUGGCGGGCAUGCCUGUUCGAGCGUCAUUUCAACCCUCAAGCUCUGCUUGGUGUUGGGGCCCUACAGCUGAUGUAGGCCCUCAAAGGUAGUGGCGGACCCUCCCGGAGCCUCCUUUGCGUAGUAACUUUACGUCUCGCACUGGGAUCCGGAGGGACUCUUGCCGUAAAACCCCCCAAUUUUCCAAAGGUUGACCUCGGAUCAGGUAG